rnacentral:rRNA from 1 species
UAAGUCCCGCAACGAGCGNAACCCCUACUUCUAGUUGCCAUCAGGUUAAGCUGGGCACUCUAGUAGGACUGCCUGUGAUAAGCAGGAGGAAGUUGGGAUGACGUCAAGUCCUCAUGGCCCUUACGUGUUGGGCUACACACGUGCUACAAUGGCAGUGACAAUGAGAUGCUAAACGGCAACGUUAAGCUAAACUCAAAAACCUGCCUCAGUUCGGAUUGCACUCUGCAACUCGAGUGCAUGAAGCUGGAAUCGCUAGUAAUCGCUCAUCAGCGCGGAGCGGUGAAUACGUUCCCGGGUCUU